GACGAACGCGGGCGGCGUGCUUAACACAUGCAAGUCGAACGGAAAGGCCUGCUUUCCCUUGUGGAUUGCGGGUGCUCGAGUGGCGAACGGGUGAGUAACACGUGAGUGAUCUGCCCCCAACUUGGGUAUAAGCCUGGGAAACUGGGUCUAAUUCCCGAUAGGACUGCAGGGUGGUGCCUGUGGUGGAAAACGAUUUUCUAGUGGUUGGGGAUGAGCUCGCGGCCUAUCAGCUUGUUGGUGGGGUAAUGGCCUACCAAGGCGGCGACGGGUAGCCGGCCUGAGAGGGUGGAUGGCGACAUUGGGACUGAGCUACGGCCCAGACUCCUACGGGAGGCAGGAGUGGGGAAUAUUGCACAAUGGGCGGAAGCCUGAUGCAGCGACGACGCGUGGGGGAUGACGGCCUUCGGGUUGUAAACUCCUUUCGACCGCGAGGAAGCCACCUGGUUGGAAGGGUGGUGACGGUAGUGGUAGAAGAAGCACCGGCUAACUACGUG
rnacentral:rRNA from 1 species